rnacentral:rRNA from 1 species
CCUACGGGGGACUGCAGUGAGGAAUAUUGGUCAAUGGACGAGAGUCUGAACCAGCCAAGUAGCGUGAAGGAUGACUGCCCUAUGGGUUGUAAACUUCUUUUAUAUGGGAAUAAAAUGUUCCACGUGUGGGAUUUUGUAUGUACCAUAUGAAUAAGGAUCGGCUAACUCCGUGCCAGCAGCCGCGGUAAUACGGAGGAUCCGAGCGUUAUCCGGAUUUAUUGGGUUUAAAGGGAGCGUAGGUGGAUUGUUAAGUCAGUUGUGAAAGUAUGCGGCUCAACUGAAAAAUUGCAGUUGAAACUGGCAGUCUAGAGUACAGUAGAGGUGGGCGGAAUGCGUGGUGUAGCGGUGAAAUGCUUAGAUAUCACAAAGAACACCGAUUGCGAAGGCAGUUCACUGGACUGCAACUGACACUGAGGCUCGAAAGUGUGGGUAUCAAACAGGAUUAGAUACCCGGGUAGUC